rnacentral:tRNA from 1 species
UUUUUUGUAGUAUAAUAAGUGCGUCGGCUUUUCAUUCCGAAGGAGGACUUAAAGUGGUCUCAAUUAUA